rnacentral:rRNA from 1 species
CUCGUAGGUGGCCAACUAAGUCAGACGUGAAAUCCCUCAGCUUAACUGGGGAACGUGCGUCUGAUACUGGAUGGCUUGAGAUUGGGAGAGGGAUGCGGAAUUCCAGGUGUAGCGGUGAAAUGCGUAGAUAUCUGGAGGAACACCGGUGGCGAAGGCGGCAUCCUGGACCAACACUGACACUGAGGAGCGAAAGCCAGGGGAGCAAACG